CACCAUUGGCAGUUCUGGGAGGAAUGUCAUAUAUUCUGAAUUCUCUAAUUCUCUUCUUGGGAAAGUUUCUGUGAAUGAAAGUAGUGUUUGAUUCUGUAGAAUUAUAUGAAGAUGUGAGAGAUGCUAUCCGAAGCUGAUCUUCUCAUUCUAUACAACACUUCUAUGCUGUUGUAUACAGUAUACUGCAGUUAAGGAGAUCCGCAUUUCUGAAAUUUGGAAGUUGAUCAAACUUGCAUAAUCCUGCCAUAAUUUCAAAAGAAAGUGCGACCAUGGUAGGAAUGGAUUUUUUGUGCUGGUAGAUUUCUUUUGUGAUAAAUUAUUUAAAUAAAAAUCAAUGAAAGAGAAUUUUCAAUUGGGAGGAGAAUUUUCAAGCACCCAUCUCUGAAAGAGAAUUUAGAAGAAGAUUGGUCAAUUCUGAUGGCAGAAAGUUCAAACAAGGAGAUGAGAGCGGAAAAAGACAAAACGACGGCCCUUUUAGGUCUCUGUUUCUGGGACAUGGCGGCGGCGGCGGCGGUGUUGAUGAUGGAGGCAAUUAUGGCCCUGAUUCUGAAGAAAUAAUUAACAAAUCUGGAAAGAAGCUAUGGGGUUUCAAUGGCUUGACGAAAUGGAAGAGAGACGAAACAGAGGACGAGACAGCUCCAUUGGCCCUCCAUGAAAGAUGUGACAGUGAAGCCUUUUGGGGUUCUUCCAAGUUCAAUUCAGAUUGCAACGAGUCCAAUUGGGAAGGCUCCCAGCACUAAAUAAUAAAAAGGAAGUUGCAUUCAAAUGGUUCUCCAUCCCAUUUCUCCAUUGACAAGGUUUUAGGCAAGAGGAUUAAAGAAAUAGCUUUCACGAGUCCAAUCAGAGAUCAAAUCCACAAAUCCCAACCUCAAAUACUCGUAUAAUGGCAGCAACUCGAUGCGAUGGACGACAUUUGACGACGACAAGAAGUGCCAGCCAAAUCUCUUCAACAACAAUAUUAGCAAACCCAAAGGGCUUUCAAUGUUGGUGCUUAUAAUUCUCAAGUAUUUGUAAGCAUAGAGCUGAAAUUACCGUCUCCCUGUCUUGGUUAUCUGUUGUCUUGAUACAGUUCCUUUUUUGGUGUAUAUUGUACAAAUGUCUGCAUGAUUCAAACCAAACUGGCUUUUCCAGAUAUUCAUUCGAGCGUUUAUGCUCAGGGUAAAACUAAAAACUUGUGCAAA